rnacentral:antisense_RNA from 18 species
AACAAUGGUGGCUCGGGUGGUGCUUCCUUCGGGAAGGCCGGGAUCCGUUGGGGCCGGUACGCUAACACUGCUCGAGCUACCACCCC